rnacentral:rRNA from 1 species
AACGAACGCUGGCGGCAGGCUUAACACAUGCAAGUCGAACGCUCGUAGCAAUACGGGAGUGGCGGACGGGUGAGUAACGCGUGGGAACGUGCCCUGAGGUACGGAAUAACUGCGGGAAACUGCAGCUAAUACCGUAUGAGCCCCGCAAGGGGGAAAGAUUUAUCGCCUUAGGAGCGGCCCGCGUCGGAUUAGCUAGUUGGUGGGGUAACGGCUUACCAAGGCUUCGAUCCGUAGCUGGUCUGAGAGGACGAUCAGCCACACUGGGACUGAGACACGGCCCAGACUCCUACGGGAGGCAGCAGUGGGGAAUCUUGCGCAAUGGGGGCAACCCUGACGCAGCCAUGCCGCGUGAAUGAUGAAGGCCUUAGGGUUGUAAAGUUCUUUUGCCCGUGACGAUGAUGACGGUAACGGGAGAAUAAGCUCCGGCUAACUUCGUGCCAGCCGCCGCUGUAACAC